GGUGUUUCUUAUCACGUUUGCUAUUGGACCUCCUCUCAGGUGGAAGUUACGCUGCAGUAUUAUUAACUUCACUACUCAACUCAAGUAGCCUGCAAAUAGGCCUACAAACUAGAGCUAAAGCACAAUGAACAGGAGCAUUCAAGAGGUCAGUGAAACAGCUUGUACCGGCUCACACCAUGCUGAGGAGUUACACUGGACAUAAUCCAGGUUCAAACUGACAGAAACGGAGCUCCAACAACCACAACACAAGAAACAUUUCCUUGACCCACUGGAUGCUUUGGCAGGUUCUUCAUAACAAACUUUCUGUGGGUAUUCAUUUCUCACAUCUGCUAAUGUUUUAAAUUACACAGAUACUUAAUGACAAAUUUUAUCAUUAGGAAACUAAUGAUAAAAAUUAUGCUAAAUUUUAUAUUUCAUGUAAUCAGUGUUUACCACUAGUGUUAAGUUAAAUGCUUUGUUCUCCAAGAUGGGUCACUUGAACACAUCUUUAAUUUCGGACUUUGUGAGGCUGGACUGUCACAACCUCUUGGAGCUUCCAGCUGCUAAAUUGGCACACAUCUACUUAGUCCUUCCUGCUAUUCUGCUCACCUUGCACCAAGUAUUUCCAAACACUCUUUCAGAUAGCAGCAAGUCUAUUCACACAGUUGACAAUGAUGAUUCAAAAACCAUUUCACAUUUGUUCAAUAACUAGUUGGACAAAAAAAAAACUUAAAUAGAACAAAUUUUAUUCACACUUUCUAUUGUACAGGAUACAACAAACACACACCCAGUGGUCAGGUCUCUACAGCAGGUUUGGAUGGAGAAGUUAGGUUGUUGAUGCUGACAUAAGGGUUAGUCCUGCUGCUCAGAGGUACGGCUGGUCUGUGGAGAGUGGUGGCUCCUUAUAUACAGCACCAGGGGUCACUGGAAGCUUUGGGGCUUCAGCAACUUGACUAGAAGAGAUAAGAGUCAAGAAAAUAUUGUAGGUACUUAAACAUAACAAAAAGAAUAUUUCAGUUAUCAGAGAUACAUAGAUGUCAUUAGAGCUUCAGCGAUUUACUGAUUAGUUGUCAACUAUUUAAUCACAAACUAACUUGAUAAUUAAUUGAUGGACAAUUCUCUGAUUCCAGCUUCCUAAAUUUGAAGUAGUAAACUGAAUAGAUUUAGCUUGUGGACAAAACAAGACAUUUGAGGAGGACAUCUUGAAACAACGAUUCACAUGUUUGAACAUUUUCUGACAUUUUAUAGACAAAACAACUACUCAGGGAAAAUAAUUGACAAUUAAGACAGAUGUCAUGCAAUCAUCAGAUAUCUAAGUAUUGGAUUUUUGGCAGGUGUAAUCAAACAGCUGGAUUGUUGUGUUGUCACAAAAUGCACAUCUCUGAUACAUCCAUCCAUCCAAAUUGGUGUACUCCACGUAUCUGUCUGCAGCCACACUUAUUCCAACUAUGUAUACUGCAUUAACAUAAACUGUUUAUGAUUGUUCACAUUGGCCCCAUUCCUGCUUUCAUUGUGUUGGUGUACUUCAGGUCAGAACAAUAUUCUUUUGCUAACAGUCUGCUGUCACUGCAAGCUCAACCCUUCCUGUGCCGGAGUUUCACAGUAAAGUUCCAGCAAAGUGAAUUGUGAAAGUAAUCCAGCUAUGUUAAUAUGUCCAACAUGACAUUUGUAAUAAUCAAAGUUUUGCCCGGGACUACUACCAUGCAUGAAAACGUAGUGACUGUGUCAUUUACCUGCCUGCGGUGAGAGCCUUCUGUGAAGACAUGAUGACCGUGGCUGGUACUGACUCUCUGCGUCCAUCUCUGGUGUAGUAGUAGUUGUUGGCAUACUUGUGGCUCGGUCCCACAGGCAGUUUUGGUGGUGGCUGUGUCCUAUAGAAAAAAAGUAUUGUAAACAGAAUUUACUUGUAUGUCUUCUGUGGAAUAACAGAUCUACUUAAAGCUGUCCAAAAGCAAUAUAAUCACCUAAGAUGGACACAAAGAAUUCCCUCUUGUUUUUGGAAACAUAGGAACAAAUGUCUGUACGUGUUUUAAUCAGUGGACCUGUGAAAUGCCAUGAUCUCAUACAUUUUUCUGCACUGUCUGUUUGUCCUUGUUUUGCUUUUUAUUAUUUUUCCUUUCCUGAUAUGGACCAGUGUGUGAAAUAAAUAAAUGCGGAUCCAAACUUGCAUGUUGAGGCAGGUGUGCCACUUACUAGUCUGGCCCGCUGGUGUAGUAUUUAUUUAGGCAAUACGUUAGU